rnacentral:rRNA from 1 species
UACGUAGGGGGCAAGCGUUGUCCGGAAUCAUUGGGCGUAAAGAGCGUGUAGGCGGCCCGAUAAGUCCGCUGUGAAAGUCCAGGGCUCAACCCUGGAAUGCCGGUGGAUACUGUCGGGCUCGAAUCCGGAAGAGGUGAGUGGAAUUCCUGGUGUAGCGGUGAAAUGCGCAGAUAUCAGGAGGAACACCAAUGGCGAAGGCAGCUCGCUGGGACGGUACUGACGCUGAGACGCGAAAGCGUGGGGAGCGAACAGG